AAACGACUCUCGGCAACGGAUAUCUCGGCUCUCGCAUCGAUGAAGAACGUAGCGAACUGCGAUACUUGGUGUGAAUUGCAGAAUCCCGUGAACCAUCGAGUCUUUGAACGCAAGUUGCGCCCGAAGCCAUUAGGCCGAGGGCACGUCUGCCUGGGCGUCACGCAUCGCGUCGCCCCCCCACACCGUGC
rnacentral:rRNA from 1 species